rnacentral:misc_RNA from 1 species
GAUGAAGAACGUAGCGAAAUGCGAUAAGUAAUGUGAAUUGCAGAAUUCAGUGAAUCAUCGAAUCUUUGAACGCACAUUGCGCCGGCCAGUAAUCUGGCGGGCAUGCCUGUUCGAGCGUCAUUUCAACCCUCAGGCCCCCAGUGCCUGGUGUUGGGGAUCGGCAGCAGGGCGUCAAGCCCGCCGGCCCCGAAAUCUAGUGGCGGUCUCGCUGUAGUCCUCCUCUGCGUAGUAGCACAACCUCGCACUUGGAACGCGGCGGUGGCCAUGCCGUUAAACACCCCACUUCUGAAAGUUGACCUCGGAUCAGGUAGGAAUACCCGCUGAACUUAAGCAUAUCAAUAAGCGGAGGA